ACGCUCGACACCUACGGGAGGCGGCAGUGGGGAAUAUUGCACAAUGGGGGAAACCCUGAUGCAGCGACGCCGCGUGAAGGAAGAAGUAUCUCGGUAUGUAAACUUCUAUCAGCAGGGAAGAAAAAUGACGGUACCUGACUAAGAAGCCCCGGCUAACUACGUGCCAGCAGCCGCGGUAAUCUGAGCGGGCUGCAAGGC
rnacentral:rRNA from 1 species